UACGAAGGGGGCUAGCGUUGCUCGGAAUUACUGGGCGUAAAGUGUGCGCAGGCGGCCGAGCAAGUCGAGUGUGAAAGCCCCGAGCUUAACUUGGGAACUGCGCUCGAAACUACUUGGCUAGAGUGUGGCAGAGGGGGGUGGAAUUCCACGUGUAGCGGUGAAAUGCGUAGAGAUGUGGAGGAACACCGAUGGCGAAGGCAGCCUCCUGGGCCAACACUGACGCUCAUGCACGAAAGCGUGGGGAGCAAACAGG
rnacentral:rRNA from 1 species